GUGGUGUUUAGUUCAGGUCAGUGAUCUUUAGGUCAGUGGUGUUUAGUUCAGAUCAGUGGUGUUUAGUUCAGGUCAGUGAUCUUCAGGUCAGUGAUCUUCAGGUCAGUGGUGUUUAGUUCAGGACAGUGAUCUUUAGGUCAGUGGUGUUUAGUUCAGGUCAGUGGUGUUUAGGUAAGGUCAGUGAUCUUCAGGUCAGUGAUCUUCAGGUCAGUGGUGUUUAGUUCAGGUCAGUGGUGUUUAGGUCAGUGGUGUUUAGGUCAGGUCAGUGGUGUUUAGUUCAGGUCAGUGGUGUUUAGGUCAGUGGUGUUUAGGUCAGGUCAGUGGAGUUUAGUUCAGGUCAGUAAUCUUCAGGUCAGUGGUGUUUAGUUCAGAACCCGGUGUAUACUUGUGCUGUUUUCCUGCAGGC
ensembl:lncRNA